CGGAAUCAUUGGGCGUAAAGCGCACGUAGGCGGCUCCUCAAGUCGGAUGUGAAAGCCCUGGGCUCAACUCAGGAAGUGCAUCCGAAACUGUGGAGCUUGAAUGCCGGAGGGGCCCAGAGAAUUCCCGGUGUAGAGGUGAAAUUCGUAGAUAUCGGGAGGAAUACCAGUGGCGAAGGCGCUGGGCUGGACGGUCAUUGACGCUGAGGUGCGAAGGCGUGGGGAGCAAACAGG
rnacentral:rRNA from 1 species